UCCCCCUUAAGAAGGCGAAGGAAGGGCGCUGUUGCUACCCAGACAGCUCGCUGUCAGGAGGCCGACUCUUCGGGGUGUCCGGAUGCCAGAAGACAUCAGUGACCUGCACUUCUAUCUCCCGGCCACCCCCCGUUAGGCCAAAUUAGGAGGUGUUUCACAAUUUUUGGAGCGUUCUUGUGUCCUCUUCUGCUCUGUGCCCCCUCAGAAACCUGAGCGUGGGUGCAUGAAAGGGCACGAACUUGAUACCUGUGCUGCAUAGCCCUGGAUACGAGCUACCCACUCUGCACCCUGUCAUAAGUGCUUUAAUCGCUCUGCUUUUUCUCCCAAAUUUGGAUUGAGGUUGAGUAUCUUACUCUAAAUCGGUGUUUGUCAACUUCAUCGGGUGUGUCAUCCUUGUUACAACUCCCCUGUCCUUUUUCAAGAGAGAUGCACCACAUCAGGAGAAAAUGUCCUAUUUUAAGAGCAUUAACAGCC